GGGAGGGGGCUUGGCCACUUCCUGUGGUUUCUGAUUGGCCAAUCUGCCAUACCCCCCUCACACCCUCUUGUGUUCAAUUAAGACUUAAUUAGGCCCAACACUUUCUUUAUAAAAGUUACCAAUGACUUAAUUCCUAUCUAAAACCUCUUAAAAAAAUAGAGCAAGGGGGAAAUUUAAAAUUAUUUUCCAAAAGAUAAAACACUAGACUAGGCUCUGGCUGGGUUAGGUUUGGGAAGGUCUUAGCCCAAUCAAGGGCUAGAGUUGCACUGGCACAAGUCUUAUGCUUAUAUUUUAUGGUUUUUUUCAUCCCCAGGAAAAAGGUGAAGAGGAGGAUUAUAUUCCCAUCAAGGUAGGUAUCCUAGUAGGUAAGUAUCCCAGGUAAGUAAAAGACUAAAUACCCUAUACUGUAGAUCUGUGUUGAUCUUCUUUCUUUUUUUGUCCUACAGGAACCUUUCUGCCCCCCACUGGUCACCACAGGUAAGUAUCCCAGGUAAGAAGGUAUGUGCAUAUAUACACUUUUUUCUGAUUCCUGAUAUUGUUAAAUCACUUUUUCUCCUUCCACAGGAAUCCCUCACCUCCCACCUGGAAGACAGCAGGGGGUAUACAACCUUUAGAUGUUCAUAUUAAUAAAUCACCAAUCCAUAAUUUUAACAUUGUCUCUGCGGUUUCAGUGGUCCAGAGAACCGGAUCCCGUCCCGUUACCUGGAAUUGGCGUUGAUCCAUCUCAGGUUUUCCCAAGCUGCUGCAGCUGUUUCACUGUGGUCCUGGGUUUCUGUCUAUCCAGACAGUUCACCAUCCCCACUGACAGAAUCACAUGUUCUGUGUUUGGGUUCGGCGUCAGCUUCUCCAGUAUCCCCCUUAAAUGAUGGCAGUUUGCCCCUGGGAAACUGUCAACCUGGAUAUGUUCAUCCUUAAAAGUCGGAUGGAUAACGGGCUCCUCUCUGAGGAGGACCUUUGGCUGUGACUGGCUGAGAGCGUGACGGUAAGUAGGGUCAAG